GAUGAACGCUGGCGGCGUGCCUAAUACAUGCAAGUCGAGCGAACAGAUGAGGAGCUUGCUCCUCUGACGUUAGCGGCGGACGGGUGAGUAACACGUGGAUAACCUACCUAUAAGACUGGGAUAACUUCGGGAAACCGGAGCUAAUACCGGAUAAUAUAUUGAACCGCAUGGUUCAAUAGUGAAAGACGGUUUUGCUGUCACUUAUAGAUGGAUCCGCGCCGCAUUAGCUAGUUGGUAAGGUAACGGCUUACCAAGGCAACGAUGCGUAGCCGACCUGAGAGGGUGAUCGGCCACACUGGAGCUGAGACACGGUCCAGGCUCCUACGGGAGGCAGCAGUAGGGAAUCUUCCGCAAUGGGCGAAAGCCUGACGGAGCAACGCCGCGUGAGUGAUGAAGGUCUUCGGAUCGUAAAACUCUGUUAUUAGGGAAGAACAAAUGUGUAAGUAACUAUGCACGUCUUGACGGUACCUAAUCAGAAAGCCACGGCUAACUACGUG
rnacentral:rRNA from 1 species